rnacentral:rRNA from 1 species
ACACUCCUGCGGGAGGCAGCAGUGGGGAAUAUUGGACAAUGGGCGCAAGCCUGAUCCAGCCAUGCCGCGUGAGUGAUGAAGGCCCUAGGGUUGUAAAGCUCUUUCACCGGUGAAGAUAAUGACGGUAACCGGAGAAGAAGCCCCGGCUAACUUCGUGCCAGCAGCCGCGGUAAUACGAAGGGGGCUAGCGUUGUUCGGAUUUACUGGGCGUAAAGCGCACGUAGGCGGACUAUUAAGUCAGGGGUGAAAUCCCGGGGCUCAACCCCGGAACUGCCUUUGAUACUGGUAGUCUUGAGUUCGAGAGAGGUGAGUGGAAUUCCGAGUGUAGAGGUGAAAUUCGUAGAUAUUCGGAGGAACGCCAGUGGCGAAGGCGGCUCACUGGCUCGAUACUGACGCUGAGGUGCGAAAGCGUGGGGAGCAAACAGGAUUAGAUACCCUAGUAGUCCC